rnacentral:rRNA from 1 species
UCCAGACUCCUACGGGAGGCAGCAGUGGGGAAUAUUGCACAAUGGGCGCAAGCCUGAUGCAGCCAUGCCGCGUGUAUGAAGAAGGCCUUCGGGUUGUAAAGUACUUUCAGCGGGGAGGAAGGUGCUGAGGUUAAUAACCUCAGCAAUUGACGUUACCCGCAGAAGAAGCACCGGCUAACUCCGUGCCAGCAGCCGCGGUAAUACGGAGGGUGCAAGCGUUAAUCGGAAUUACUGGGCGUAAAGCGCACGCAGGCGGUCUGUCAAGUCGGAUGUGAAAUCCCCGGGCUCAACCUGGGAACUGCAUUCGAAACUGGCAGGCUGGAGUCUCGUAGAGGGGGGUAGAAUUCCAGGUGUAGCGGUGAAAUGCGUAGAGAUCUGGAGGAAUACCGGUGGCGAAGGCAGCCCCCUGGACAAAGACUGACGCUAAAGUGCGAAAGCGUGGGGAGCAAACAGGAUUAGAUACCCCCGUA